rnacentral:rRNA from 1 species
AUGUUUUUGGGGUACGUGGGCUUAUAUAGGAGGAAGAAGUACAUCGGUGGCCGCCCGAGGGGCCCACGAGACAGGGGGCGCCCUGUAGGGUGGACGCACCCUACCCUUUCGUGGCCGCCUCGGCUGCUUCUUGACUUGCACUCCAAGUCCUCUGGAUCAUGUCCGUUCCAAAAAUCACGCUCCCAAAGGUUUCAUUCCAUUUGGACUCCAUUUGAUAUUCCUUUUUUUCGAAAUACUGAAAUAGGCAAAAAAACAGCAAUAUGGGUUGGGCCUCCGGUUAGUAGGUUAGUCCCAAAAAUGAUAUAA